rnacentral:rRNA from 1 species
UCGGGAAUUUUGGGCAAUGGGCGAAAGCCUGACCCGGCAACGCCGCGUGAGGGAUGAAGUAUUUCGGUAUGUAAACCUCGAAAGAAUGGGAAGAAUAAAUGACGGUACCAUUUAUAAGCUCCGGCUAACUACGUGCCAGCAGCCGCGGUAAUACGUAGGGAGCAAGCGUUGUUCGGAUUUACUGGGCGUAAAGGGCGCGUAGGCGGCGCGGUAAGUCACUUGUGAAAUCUCUGAGCUUAACUCAGAACGGCCAAGUGAUACUGCUGUGCUAGAGUGCGGAAGAGGCAACCGGAAUUCUUGGUGUAGCGGUGAAAUGCGUAGAUAUCAAGAGGAACACCUGAGGCGAGGGCGGGUUGCUGGGCCGACACUGACGCUGAUGCGCGAAAGCCAGGGGAGCAAACG